AACAUGCGUAAGGAAGGAUGCAAUCCACAGAUGAGAGACAGUGUCCUCUGUGCACCGCUGUGGUCCCUGGCAGGAAGUAAAUCAGCCAAGGAGCCGCCUGAGACCAAACACUGCGAGGAACUCUGGAGCCUGGAGGCGUGUGGGAGGUGUACACAGAACUCACGGGCCACAGUCUGCUUGUUACUUCCUGGUCAAGGUCUCAGGGAAGGGUGCUGGUGCCCAGUCAGGGGGUGAGAAGUGGGACACGCCCUGGAGACACAGGACAGACAACCGUCCACGCACACAUUCAUGCCUGAGGACAGAUUUUUAGAAACAAUUAACCUUACAGUUGAACUGUGAGAGGAAGGCAGAGUACCCAGAGAGAAUCCCCCAAUUGUGCAGGGAGAACAAGAAGACGUUCUAACAGCUGCUCAACCGUGCAUGUUUUUCUAUGAGAAUUUCCAUCAUAUGCAAAGAGUCUAUUAGAAACUGGGUUUCAUAGUCAUCUCAUAGGAUUUAAGGAAGUUUUCUUUUGAAUUUUGCUCAUUUGCUUUAAAUCCAUCGAGUCAAAAAUUGAAAAAUGACACGGACGAACAAACAAACUGAGUUAUUGCAACAGUUUGGCCAUCUUGAAGUCUGUGUAUGUACUGUAGAUUUGAGCAAGAAGUGCAUUGCGUAACAACUCAAACUCGGCAUUUGGCCAAUUCAAAUAAAGCAUCAAAACUCCAGCAGGCUUUCUUUGACUUUAGCUCACAUUUUACCUCUCACCUUACAAAAUUAUGUCCAACAAAAGAGCCGUCUGGUCCAGCCGACAUAUAAAUGGCUGCCUGCUUAUAGUCAGCAUUUUACAUUGGUCACAGGAAGUCAUCUUAAAGGAACCGUACAGUUUCUGAGCUGCUGAUCACUAAUAGAUUCAAAAUCUAGUUGAAACAUAUACCAAAAAAUAAUCCAUGCAGUCCCUCUCCACUUACAAUGACAGGAGCAGCAAAAGAAAGGAUUUCAGAAACACCUUAAAAUGUAUGUAUUGUAUUCACCUCCGUUUAUAUAAAAGCA